AUUUAGCCCCGAUGGAAACGGCAUCCUUUUGUGGUGGGGUUCACCACAAAAGAUACAGUGAACAGCGGGACGGGAC
rnacentral:sRNA from 1 species